CCUCAGUGUCUCCUCUCCUUCGGGAGAACGGAAGGAUGCCUGCGGACUACGCUCUACUGCUACAUUCCAAAGGCCAGACCAUGACAGCUUGGCCUCUGCUGUAUCCCCAUGGAGGCACUCCAUUGCUAGCAAUUAAAUAAAUGAAAUUUC